GCUCCAGGCUGAGGGUGACCUCCUGUUUUUCAGCGUGGUUCUGGGGCUCGGCUGGGGAGAGAAAUAGAGGGAAUGAAGCACUCCUUCCCUAUAGUCACUCAACAAACAGCAGCAGAGCAGAGUGGUUAAGCCCCAACUGCCUGGGUUCAAAUCCCACGACUGUUGCUUGGCUGCUGCAUGGCUGUGGACACAAAUCUAUCAUGGAGCCGGAAGUGGGAUAAAGACCACAGAGCUCCCCAAUGCUGUCAUUGGUGGCCCUUUUCACCCAUUCUCCUGAAGACAUGUCCCACUUCCUCAAGGGAACUCGCUGAGCCCGACUCCCGUGAGGAACACUGGCUUCACUUGCCCUUCCAGGAAAGCAGAGUCCAGGAGGGCCUGGGGCACAGCGGUGCUCGCUGCAGAGCUCUUCAACAGAACAAAUGAUUGCACGGGAAGAGCCUCUUGUGAGGGGCAGCAGGGGCAGGAAGGGUGUGCUUUAAAUUGUGGAAAACAACGGUGGUUUCAGGGUCCAUUGGGAAAAGGAA